GACGAACGCUGGCGGCGUGCCUAAUACAUGCAAGUCGAACGCACAGUUUAUACCGUAGCUUGCUACACCAUAGACUGUGAGUUGCGAACGGGUGAGUAACGCGUAGGUAACCUGCCUGGUAGCGGGGGAUAACUAUUGGAAACGAUAGCUAAUACCGCAUAAUAUUAAUUAUUGCAUGAUAAUUAAUUGAAAGGUGCAAUUGCACCACUACCAGAUGGACCUGCGUUGUAUUAGCUAGUAGGUGAGGUAACGGCUCACCUAGGCGACGAUACAUAGCCGACCUGGGAGGGUGAUCGGCCACACUGGGACUGAGACCCGGCCCAGACUCCUACGGGAGGCCGCAGUAGGGAAUCUUCGGCAAUGGACGAAAGUCUGACCGAGCAACGCCGCGUGAGUGAAGAAGGUUUUCGGAUCGUAAAGCUCUGUUGUAAGAGAAGAACGGGUGUGAGAGUGGAAAGUUCACACUGUGACGGUAUCUUACCAGAAAGGGACGGCUAACUACGUG
rnacentral:rRNA from 1 species